rnacentral:rRNA from 1 species
UACGUAGGGUGCGAGCGUUGUCCGGAAUUAUUGGGCGUAAAGAGCUCGUAGGCGGUGUGUCACGUCGGCCGUGAAAACCUGGGGCUUAACUCUGGGCGUGCGGUCGAUACGGGCAUCACUAGAGUUCGGCAGGGGAGACUGGAAUUCCUGGUGUAGCGGUGAAAUGCGCAGAUAUCAGGAGGAACACCGGUGGCGAAGGCGGCUUCCUGGACCGACACUGACGCUGAGGCGCGAAGCUAGGGGAGCAAACGGG